UACAGAGGUCUCAAGCGUUGUUCGGAUUCAUUGGGCGUAAAGGGUGCGUAGGCGGCGCGGUAAGUCGGGUGUGAAAGCCCCGGGCUCAACCUGGGAAUUGCGCUCGAGACUGGUCUGCUUGAGUUCGGGAGAGGAGAGUGGAAUUCCCAGUGUAGAGGUGAAAUUCGUAGAUAUUGGGAAGAACACCGGUGGCGAAGGCGGCUCUCUGGACCGAGACUGACGCUGAGGCGCGAAAGCGUGGGGAGCAAACAGG
rnacentral:rRNA from 1 species